rnacentral:rRNA from 1 species
GAUGAACGCUGGCGGCGUGCCUAAUACAUGCAAGUCGAACGCACAGCGAAAGGUGCUUGCACCUUUCAAGUGAGUGGCGAACGGGUGAGUAACACGUGGACAACCUGCCUCAAGGCUGGGGAUAACAUUUGGAAACAGAUGCUAAUACCGAAUAAAACUCAGUGUCGCAUGACACAAAGUUAAAAGGCGCUUUGGCGUCACCUAGAGAUGGAUCCGCGGUGCAUUAGUUAGUUGGUGGGGUAAAGGCCUACCAAGACAAUGAUGCAUAGCCGAGUUGAGAGACUGAUCGGCCACAUUGGGACUGAGACACGGCCCAAACUCCUACGGGGGGCUGCAGUAGGGAAUCUUCCACAAUGGGCGAAAGCCUGAUGGAGCAACGCCGCGUGUGUGAUGAAGGCUUUCGGGUCGUAAAGCACUGUUGUAUGGGAAGAACAGCUAGAAUAGGGAAUGAUUCUAGUUUGACGGUACCAUACCAGAAAGGGACGGCUAAAUACGUGCCAGCAGCCGCAGUAA